rnacentral:rRNA from 1 species
UACGUAGGGGGCAAGCGUUGUCCGGAAUCAUUGGGCGUAAAGCGCGCGUAGGCGGCCCGGUAAGUCCGCUCUGAAAGUCCAGGGCUCAACCCUGGGAUGCCGGUGGAUACUGUCGGGCUCGAGUCCGGAAGAGGCGAGUGGAAUUCCUGGUGUAGCGGUGAAAUGCGCAGAUAUCAGGAGGAACGCCAAUGGCGAAGGCAGCUCGCUGGGACGUGACUGACGCUGAGACGCGAAAGCGUGGGGAGCAAACAGG